CUAAAUCCCUAGCUCAAACCCUUUUUAUACAAAAAUUUUAUCUUCUUCCUCAAACUAAAACAUUUUCACAAUUUAGUAUCAGGCGAUAAAAAAAUUUUUUUGAAGCGAUACAGAAAGUACCGUAAGGGAAAGAUGAAAUAAAAAUGAAAUAACUUUAAAGCACAAAAAAGUAGAGCUUCCCCCUCGUACCUUUUGCAUCAUGGUUUAACUAGUCUAAUUAGGCAAAAAGAUUUACAGUCUAACUCCCCGAACCUGAGCGAGCUACUUUAAGACAGCCUUAUGGGCCAACCCGUCUCUGUUGCAAAAGAGUGGGAAGAUCUUAAAAUAGCGGUGACAGACCUAACGAGCUCAGCGAUAGCUGGUUGCUUUUUAAAAGGAUUUAAGUCCUGCUUAAAGUUUUUCUUAUACCAAAAAAUUUACUUUUAAGUUACUCAAAUAAGGUUCAGCCUAUUUGAAAAAGGGCACAACCUCAACCAUCGGGUUAAUUCGUUCAAAUAUGUUUAAGUUGGCCUGAAAGCAGCCACCUUUAUUAAAAGCGUCAAAGCUUAUCCAUUUUUUUACCCAAUACCUAAAAUUUUUCCCAACCCCUCACCCCUAAAAAGCAACUCUAUAUCUCUAUAGAAAAUUUUAUGUUAAAACUAGUAACAAGAAGUUAACCCUUCUCUUAAAUGUAACUGUACCUCAGCUUGGACCUUCCACUGAUAUUUAACGUCUAUAAUUCUUAAGUAGUAACAUCUCAAGAAAAUUCUACUCUUCCCUACGUUAACCUAACACAAGAACAUUAAAAGAAAGAUUAAAAGAAAAAGAAGGAACUCGGCAAACAUUAGCCUCGCCUGUUUACCAAAAACAUCGCCUCUUGAUAUAACCAUAAGAGGUCCAGCCUGCCCAGUGACAUUGUUCAACGGCCGCGGUAUCCUAACCGUGCGAAGGUAGCGUAAUCACUUGUCCUUUAAAUGAGGACUAGUAUGAAUGGCCCCACGAAAGCUAUACUGUCUCCUUUUUCUGAUCAGUUAAACUAAUCUCCCCGUGAAGAAGCGGGGAUAAACAUAUAAGACGAGAAGACCCUAUGGAGCUUUAAACACCUGAAGCAUUUGUAUUACUAUUUUUAUUUCCGAAAUCAAUUUUAAACCACACAUUAUUGCCUCUAGUUUUAGGUUGGGGUGACCGCGGAGAAAAAUAUAACCUCCACAUUGAAACGAGAUUUUUGCCUCUAAACAAAAAGUUACAUCUUUAUGUAUUAAUAAAUUAACCUUAAUUGACCCAAUAAACUUGAUCAACGAACCAAGUUACCCUAGGGAUAACAGCGCAAUCCAUUUCAAGAGCUCCUAUCGACAAAUGGGUUUACGACCUCGAUGUUGGAUCAGGGUAUCCCAGUGGUGCAGCCGCUACUAAAGGUUCGUUUGUUCAACGAUUAAAACCCU
rnacentral:rRNA from 1 species